rnacentral:rRNA from 1 species
CCCCUUCGGGGGCAGAGUGACAGGUGNNGCAUGGUUGUCGUCAGCUCGUGUCGUGAGAUGUUGGGUUAAGUCCCGCAACGAGCGCAACCCUUGAUCUUAGUUGCCAGCAUUCAGUUGGGCACUCUAAGGUGACUGCCGGUGACAAACCGGAGGAAGGUGGGGAUGACGUCAAAUCAUCAUGCCCCUUAUGACCUGGGCUACACACGUGCUACAAUGGACAGAACAAAGGGCAGCGAAACCGCGAGGUUAAGCCAAUCCCACAAAUCUGUUCUCAGUUCGGAUCGCAGUCUGCAACUCGACUGCGUGAAGCUGGAAUCGCUAGUAAUCGCGGAUCAGCAUGCCGCGGUGAAUACGUUCCCGGGCCUUGUACACACCGCCCGUCACACCACGAGAGUUUGUAACACCCGAAGUC